rnacentral:miRNA from 1 species
CAAAAGAGCUUAUGGCUUGUA